AGCUUUGUGCAGUGGCAGUAUCAUAGUCAAUGAGGUUUAUCUGAGGCACGAUUACUGCUAAUUAAAAAAGAGAAAGGAAAUUACUUUGCUACAAAUUAUGAUGGCAUUCUUUAGCAUCCAACCUAUUUUG
ensembl:snRNA Rnu4-64 RNA, U4 small nuclear 64